rnacentral:rRNA from 1 species
GUAAAUAAUUAAGGGCGUAUGGUGGAUGCCUAGGCUCUCAGAGGCGAUGAAGGACGUGAUAAGCUGCGAAAAGCUCCGUUUAGGUGCAAAUAACCUUUGAUGCGGAGAUCUCCGAAUGGGAUAACCCAAUAUGUUGAAGACAUAUUAUACCGUAAGGUAGGCAAACGCAGGGAACUGAAACAUCUAAGUACCUGCAGGAGAAGAAAACAAACGUGAUUCCCCCAGUAGCGGCGAGCGACCGGGGAAAAGCCCAAACCGUUAUUGUUUCGGCAGUAGCGGGGUAGUAGGACUGCGACAUUGAUGAAAUAAAUGAAAUGGAACACCUUGGAAAAUGUGAUCACAGAGGGUGAUAAUCCCGUACAUGCAAGUUUAUGAAUCAUAGCAGACUCCUGAGUAAGUCGGGACACGUGUAAUCCUGACCGAAUCCGCCGGGACCAUCCGGCAAGGCUAAAUACUCCUGAGAGACCGAUAGUGAACCAGUACCGUGAGGGAAAGGUGAAAAGCACUUCGAACAGAAGAGUGAAAUAGUCCCUGAACCCAUACGCCUACAAGCUGUCGGAGCCGCUUCGUGCGGUGACGGCGUGCCUUUUGCAUAAUGAGCCUACGAGUUACUCAUCACCAGCGAGGUUAAGUACUUCAGGUACGUAAGCCGAAGCGAAAGCGAGUCUGAAUAGGGCGUCAAGUUGGUGGUGGUAGACGCGAAACCUUAGUGAUCUACCCAUGGGCAGGGUGAAGGUUUGGUAACACAAACUGGAGGCCCGAACCGGUAAACGUUGAAAAGUUUUCGGAUGACCUGUGGGUAGGGGUGAAAGGCCAAUCAAACUGGGAAAUAGCUCGUACUCUCCGAAAUGCAUUUAGGUGCAGCCUCUGUUGUUUUGUUCUAGAGGUAGAGCUACUGAUUGGAUGCGAGGGCUUCACCGCCUAUCAAAUCCGGCCAAACUCCGAAUGCUAGAACAUGAAGACAGGGAGUGAGCCAGCGGGUGCUAAGGUCCGUUGACGAAAGAGGGAGAACUCAGACCAUCAGCUAAGGUCCCCAAUUGUAUGCUAAGUUGGAAUUAAAACGGGGUGGGACUGCUUAGACAGCUAGGAUGUUGGCUUGGAAGCAGCCAUUCAUUUAAAGAGUGCGUAACAGCUCACUAGUCGAGCGGUCCUGCAUGGAUAAUACGCGGGCAUAAGCAUAUAACCGAAGCUAUGGGAUUGUAGAUGAUACAAUCGGUAGGAGAGCAUUCCAUUCAGCGUAGAAGCAGUAUCGUGAGGUAUUGUGGAGCGGAUGGAAAAGCAAAUGUAGGCAUAAGUAACGAUAAUGCGGGUGAGAACCCCGCACGCCGAAAGAUCAAGGAUUCCCCGGCAAUGUCAAUCAUCCGGGGGUAAGUCGGAUCCUAAGGGUAAGCCGAGUGGCGAUCCCGAUGGCAAACAGGUUAAUAUUCCUGUACUGAUCAUAACUGCGAUGCAGCGACGCAGAGGUGACACUGCUGCGUACUGACGGAAUAGUACGUUGAAACCCGUAUUCUUUGAUACCGGUAGUGAAGCACGCCGGUAGAGAUGAAAGGUGAUAGUACCGCAAUGCUUCGGUUGCGCGGAUAAUGCAGGUAAGCUGACUGCCAAGAAAACCUGCUAAGCUUCAGGUAAUGAUCAUCCGUACUGUAAACGGACACACGUGAUCAGGUAGAAAAUACUAAGGCGCUCGAGAGAUUCAUGGUUAAGGAACUAGGCAAAAUGGUCCUGUAACUUCGGGAUAAAGGACGCUCUUGUGAAAGAGCCGCAGAUAAUAGGCCCAGGCGACUGUUUACCAAAAACACAUGGCUAUGCUAAUUCGCAAGAAGAUGUAUAUGGCCUGACACCUGCCCGGUGCCGGAAGGUUAAGAGGAGAGCUCAUCAGCGAUGAGAAGGUUUGAAUUGAAGCCCCGGUAAACGGCGGCCGUAACUAUAACGGUCCUAAGGUAGCGAAAUUCCUUGUCGGGU